rnacentral:tRNA from 1 species
GGGGCCAUAGCUCAGUUGGGAGAGCGCUUGCAUGGCAUGCAAGAGGUCGUCGGUUCGAUUCCGAUUGGCUCCA